UAACGUGGGACGGGUGAUUAAAACUGGGGCAACCUGCCUCGUAUAGGGGAAUACCCUUUCGAAAGGAACAUUAAUACCGCAUAAUAUUGUUGAAAGGGAUCUUUUAACAAUCAAAGGAGCUGUCCAUCUAUGAGAUGGGCCCGCGGCGCAUUAUCUAUUUGGUGAGGUAACGGCUCACCAGAGGCUACGAUGCGUACCCGACCUGAGAGGGUGAUCGGCCACAUUGGAACUCGAGACACUGUCCAGACUCCUACGGGAGAGCACCAUUGGGGAAUAUGUGCUCAAUGGUGGGAAACCCUGAUGCAGCGACUCCACGUGAGUGAUGAAGGUCUUCGGAUUGUGAAGCUCUGUCUUUAGGGACGAUAAUGACGGUACCUAACGAGGAAGCCACGGCUAAACUACGUGCCAGCAGCCGCGGUAAUACGUAGGUGGCAAGCGUUAUCCGGAUUUUCUGGGCGUAAAGGGAGGGUAGGCGGAUAUUUAAGUUGGAUGUGAAAUACCCGAGCUUCACUUGGGAGAUGCGCUUCCAAACUGGAUAUUUAGAGUGCAGGAGAGGAGAAUGGAAUUCCUAGUGGAGCGGUGAAAUGCGUAGAGAUUAGGAAGAACACCAGUGGCGAAGGCGAUUCUCUGGAUAUUAACUCACGUUGAGGCUAGAAAGCGUGGGGAGCAAACAUGAUUAGAUACCAUGGUUAGUCCACGCCGUAAACGAUGAAUAGUAGAUGUAGGGAGCCCCAAGCAUCUGUGCCGCAAUCUAACGCAUACAGUAUUCACACUCGGGAGUUCGGUAGCAAGAUUACCACUCAAAGAAAUUGACGGGGACCCGCACAAGCAGAGGAGCAUGUUGCUUUAAUUGGAAGCAUCAUGAAGAUCUUUCCCUAGACAAACAUUGUCAUUAAUAACACGUUAUUGCGGAAGUUCGUUUGGGAACAGUGAACACAGUUGGUGCAUGGUCUUGAUCUAGCUAGUGUCGCGCUGAUGUUGGGAUGUAAGUCCCGCUAUCUGCAGCUCACACACGUUACUGUUAGUCGUUUCCAUCAAGUUGACCACUCUAGCGAGACUGCCCGGGUUAACCGCGAGGAAUGUGGUGAGGAGGUCAAUUCUUCAUGCCCAUUAUAUCUAGGGCAUCAUACCCGUUACAAGGGCAAGCACAAAGAGAAGCUAAUCAUGUGAAGUGGAGCAAAAUUCAAAAACUUGUGUCAGUUCGGUACUGUAGGAGUAAACUCGUCUACCUGAAACCGGAGUUGCUAGUAAUCGCGAAUAAGAAUGUGGCAGGUGAACAAGUUUUCGUCUUUAGUACACACCACCCUUCA
rnacentral:rRNA from 1 species